rnacentral:rRNA from 1 species
GUAGGGAAUCUUCCACAAUGGACGCAAGUCUGAUGGAGCAACGCCGCGUGAGUGAAGAAGGCUUUCGGGUCGUAAAACUCUGUUGUUGGAGAAGAAUGGUCGGCAGAGUAACUGUUGUCGGCGUGACGGUAUCCAACCAGAAAGCCACGGCUAACUACGUGCCAGCAGCCGCGGUAAUACGUAGGUGGCAAGCGUUAUCCGGAUUUAUUGGGCGUAAAGCGAGCGCAGGCGGUUUUUUAAGUCUGAUGUGAAAGCCCUCGGCUUAACCGAGGAAGUGCAUCGGAAACUGGGAAAC